rnacentral:rRNA from 1 species
GACGAGCCACACAAACGUUAUUCGGAAUUACUGGGCUUAAAGGGUGCGUAGGCGGCGCGGAAAGUUGGGCGUGAAAUCCCUCGGCUCAACCGAGGAAUGGCGCCCAAAACUACCGUGCUGGAGGAAGACAGAGGUGAGCGGAACUCAGGGUGGAGCGGUGAAAUGCGUUGAUAUCCUGAGGAACACCGGUGGCGAAAGCGGCUCACUGGACCACAACUGACGCUGAUGCGCGAAAGCUAGGGGAGCAAACAGG